rnacentral:rRNA from 1 species
CAGUAGCCGCGGUAAUACAGAGGGUGCGAGCGUUAAUCGGAUUUACUGGGCGUAAAGCGUGCGUAGGCGGCUUCUUAAGUCGGAUGUGAAAUCCCUGAGCUUAACUUAGGAAUUGCAUUCGAUACUGGGAAGCUAGAGUAUGGGAGAGGAUGGUAGAAUUCAAGGUGUAGCGGUGAAAUGCGUAGAGAUCUGGAGGAAUACCGAUGGCGAAGGCAGCCAUCUGGCCUAAUACUGACGCUGAGGUACGAAAGCAUGGGGAGCAAACAGGAUUAGAUACCCCCGUAGUCCCUGUCUCUUAUAC